CCCGGUUCUGACUCCAGCCUCCCUCCUCCGCGCGCCCUCUUUCCAGGUCCACGUCCCUACCGUCCGGCCCCCAGCCCAGCUCGCAGGUAGCAGACAGUGGCGGCCGCUCUCAGGUCCAGUCUCUGACGCUGGAGAACCGAAGGAGCCGCCCGCAGCCUUAGAAAGCCAGAAAGUUCCGCGACCGUGUCUGAUGCGUUCGCCUAAGCGCUUCCUUUGGGUGUCAGAGAGAAGAACCAAGCUUUGUUAGUUGCAGUCUUGGUGUGGCACACACACCUCAUGAGACGCACUUAUGGAAAAAAGAAACAUCCUACCAUGAGGGGGAAUCUGAAGAUGCUGAAGAGAUGAAUGAAUGCAGUUGAUCUUUCAGCAAGCAAGAGCUUAGUGUUCAAGCAGGUCACAGAAAAAGGCAGAAUCUCCACCUUUCAAAACGCAGAAUCUAAUGAAGCCAAGCCUAGAGGUUGUAUUAUUCUCAUAAUCUGAUACCUGAUAGAAGUUAAUAUGGGAAGUUCAACUGGAGAUAAACAGCAUCCUCCCUCUUCUAAUUCUUGGAACAGUUGCCAUUUGGAGGCUUAUAGAAUUAUCACUGAAUGAUAUCAUGGACAGUCUUUUCAGCUGCACUUUUUAAAAACAUGUAUUUUAUAGUCAUUUUUUAUACCAAUCAAUGAUAAAAGCCAAGGACAUGACUGAAAUCAAUUACUCAAGGAAAACCUUUUAUCCUGGGAAACUGGAAUUUGAGAAUUCACAGGCUUAGAGUCUCUUUCCAUAACUUGCUGUAACUGUGUGGGCUCAUCUUGAUAGAGUCUAUGGCUUCUUGUUGUUUUGAGACACUAAGCUGGCCAUUUAUUGAUCUUCAAGUUCAAUGUGAUUGGUGAAACUAGAGUGAUUAAUCCAUUCAAUCAAAAGUUCAACUAUUUUCCUGCUUUGGUGACAGUGACUUACGGUCCUGCACAGCCAGCCUCCCUAUGUCUGACCCCAAGUGACUGGACCCUCCAGAUGUCAAAGGCUGUUGAGAGGCAACACUGAUGAAGUGCUGGCAAAACACUUUGGAACUCUUACUGACGUGCAAAAAUUAUAUUUAAAGAAAUAUAUGAAAAUCACCUAACUCU